UUAAGCGACUAAGCGUACACGGUGGAUGCCCUGGCAGUCAGAGGCGAUGAAGGACGUGCUAAUCUGCGAUAAGCGUCGGUAAGGUGAUAUGAACCGUUAUAACCGGCGAUUUCCGAAUGGGGAAACCCAGUGUGUUUCGACACACUAUCAUUAACUGAAUCCAUAGGUUAAUGAGGCGAACCGGGGGAACUGAAACAUCUAAGUACCCCGAGGAAAAGAAAUCAACCGAGAUUCCCCCAGUAGCGGCGAGCGAACGGGGAGCAGCCCAGAGCCUGAAUCAGUGUGUGUGUUAGUGGAAGCGUCUGGAAAGGCGCGCGAUACAGGGUGACAGCCCCGUACACAAAAAUGCACAUGCUGUGAGCUCGAUGAGUAGGGCGGGACACGUGGUAUCCUGUCUGAAUAUGGGGGGACCAUCCUCCAAGGCUAAAUACUCCUGACUGACCGAUAGUGAACCAGUACCGUGAGGGAAAGGCGAAAAGAACCCCGGCGAGGGGAGUGAAAAAGAACCUGAAACCGUGUACGUACAAGCAGUGGGAGCACGCUUAGGCGUGUGACUGCGUACCUUUUGUAUAAUGGGUCAGCGACUUAUAUUCUGUAGCAAGGUUAACCGAAUAGGGGAGCCGAAGGGAAACCGAGUCUUAACUGGGCGUUAAGUUGCAGGGUAUAGACCCGAAACCCGGUGAUCUAGCCAUGGGCAGGUUGAAGGUUGGGUAACACUAACUGGAGGACCGAACCGACUAAUGUUGAAAAAUUAGCGGAUGACUUGUGGCUGGGGGUGAAAGGCCAAUCAAACCGGGAGAUAGCUGGUUCUCCCCGAAAGCUAUUUAGGUAGCGCCUCGUGAAUUCAUCUCCGGGGGUAGAGCACUGUUUCGGCAAGGGGGUCAUCCCGACUUACCAACCCGAUGCAAACUGCGAAUACCGGAGAAUGUUAUCACGGGAGACACACGGCGGGUGCUAACGUCCGUCGUGAAGAGGGAAACAACCCAGACCGCCAGCUAAGGUCCCAAAGUCAUGGUUAAGUGGGAAACGAUGUGGGAAGGCCCAGACAGCCAGGAUGUUGGCUUAGAAGCAGCCAUCAUUUAAAGAAAGCGUAAUAGCUCACUGGUCGAGUCGGCCUGCGCGGAAGAUGUAACGGGGCUAAACCAUGCACCGAAGCUGCGGCAGCGACGCUGAUGCGUUGUUGGGUAGGGGAGCGUUCUGUAAGCCUGCGAAGGUGUGCUGUGAGGCAUGCUGGAGGUAUCAGAAGUGCGAAUGCUGACAUAAGUAACGAUAAAGCGGGUGAAAAGCCCGCUCGCCGGAAGACCAAGGGUUCCUGUCCAACGUUAAUCGGGGCAGGGUGAGUCGACCCCUAAGGCGAGGCCGAAAGGCGUAGUCGAUGGGAAACAGGUUAAUAUUCCUGUACUUGGUGUUACUGCGAAGGGGGGACGGAGAAGGCUAUGUUGGCCGGGCGACGGUUGUCCCGGUUUAAGCGUGUAGGCUGGUUUUCCAGGCAAAUCCGGAAAAUCAAGGCUGAGGCGUGAUGACGAGGCACUACGGUGCUGAAGCAACAAAUGCCCUGCUUCCAGGAAAAGCCUCUAAGCAUCAGGUAACAUCAAAUCGUACCCCAAACCGACACAGGUGGUCAGGUAGAGAAUACCAAGGCGCUUGAGAGAACUCGGGUGAAGGAACUAGGCAAAAUGGUGCCGUAACUUCGGGAGAAGGCACGCUGAUAUGUAGGUGAAGCCCCUUGCUGGUGGAGCUGAAAUCAGUCGAAGAUACCAGCUGGCUGCAACUGUUUAUUAAAAACACAGCACUGUGCAAACACGAAAGUGGACGUAUACGGUGUGACGCCUGCCCGGUGCCGGAAGGUUAAUUGAUGGGGUCAGCGCAAGCGAAGCUCUUGAUCGAAGCCCCGGUAAACGGCGGCCGUAACUAUAACGGUCCUAAGGUAGCGAAAUUCCUUGUCGGGUAAGUUCCGACCUGCACGAAUGGCGUAAUGAUGGCCAGGCUGUCUCCACCCGAGACUCAGUGAAAUUGAACUCGCUGUGAAGAUGCAGUGUACCCGCGGCAAGACGGAAAGACCCCGUGAACCUUUACUAUAGCUUGACACUGAACAUUGAGCCUUGAUGUGUAGGAUAGGUGGGAGGCUUUGAAGUGUGGACGCCAGUCUGCAUGGAGCCGACCUUGAAAUACCACCCUUUAAUGUUUGAUGUUCUAACGUUGACCCGUAAUCCGGGUUGCGGACAGUGUCUGGUGGGUAGUUUGACUGGGGCGGUCUCCUCCUAAAGAGUAACGGAGGAGCACGAAGGUUGGCUAAUCCUGGUCGGACAUCAGGAGGUUAGUGCAAUGGCAUAAGCCAGCUUGACUGCGAGCGUGACGGCGCGAGCAGGUGCGAAAGCAGGUCAUAGUGAUCCGGUGGUUCUGAAUGGAAGGGCCAUCGCUCAACGGAUAAAAGGUACUCCGGGGAUAACAGGCUGAUACCGCCCAAGAGUUCAUAUCGACGGCGGUGUUUGGCACCUCGAUGUCGGCUCAUCACAUCCUGGGGCUGAAGUAGGUCCCAAGGGUAUGGCUGUUCGCCAUUUAAAGUGGUACGCGAGCUGGGUUUAGAACGUCGUGAGACAGUUCGGUCCCUAUCUGCCGUGGGCGCUGGAGAACUGAGGGGGGCUGCUCCUAGUACGAGAGGACCGGAGUGGACGCAUCACUGGUGUUCGGGUUGUCAUGCCAAUGGCACUGCCCGGUAGCUAAAUGCGGAAGAGAUAAGUGCUGAAAGCAUCUAAGCACGAAACUUGCCCCGAGAUGAGUUCUCCCUGACUCCUUGAGAGUCCUGAAGGAACGUUGAAGACGACGACGUUGAUAGGCCGGGUGUGUAAGCGCAGCGAUGCGUUGAGCUAACCGGUACUAAUGAACCGUGAGGCUUAACCUU
rnacentral:rRNA from 1 species